rnacentral:lncRNA from 1 species
UAUAAACAUCAUCAUUAAAUUUUACGUGAUAAAUUAAUAAAAAAAUAUAACGUAUUCACUAUUUACUAUCGUAGAAGAUUAAAUUAAUAUUUUUUUAAAAAUAAAAUUAAUUAAAAAUCAAAAUCUUGAAGACCUAAUGAUCACUUUACUCUUUGUAAUAUUGAUCGUCGCCUUUAUCACCUCUACUUUUACUCCUUUGUUUUCUGUCGCCAUAUCGUGUCUCUGUUUUUGCCUCCACUUGUUUAGUUCUUCCUCGGUCGUCCUUCCAUAUCCCUCUCUUGAUCUACCGAUUUAUUUUAGAUGUUUCUU